AUCUACCGAGUAGCGGGGGAUAGCCCGGAGAAAUCCGGAUUAAUACCGCAUGUGCACUACGGUGUAAAGAGGGCCUCUAUUUAUAAGCUUUCACUAUUCGAUGAGCCUGCGUCAGAUUAGCUAGUUGGUGGGGUAAUGGCCUACCAAGGCGACGAUCUGUAGCUGGUCUGAGAGGAUGAUCAGCCACACUGGGACUGAGACACGGCCCAGACUCAUACGGGAGGCAGCAGUGGGGAAUAUUGGACAAUGGGCGCAAGCCUGAUCCAGCAAUACCGCGUGUGUGAAGAAGGCCUUCGGGUUGUAAAGCACUUUCAGCGAGGAGGAAGGCCAAGUAGUUAAUACCUGCUUGGAUUGACGUUACUCGCAGAAGAAGCACCGGCUAACUCCGUGCCAGCAGCCGCGGUAAUACGGAGGGUGCAAGCGUUAAUCGGAAUUACUGGGCGUAAAGCGCGCGUAGGCGGAUGAUUAAGUCAGAUGUGAAAGCCCAGGGCUUAACCUUGGAACUGCAUUUGAUACUGGUCAUCUAGAGUACAGAAGAGGGGGGUGGAAUUCCAGGUGUAGCGGUGAAAUGCGUAGAGAUCUGGAGGAACAUCAGUGGCGAAGGCGACCCCCUGGGCUGAUACUGACGCUGAGGUGCGAAAGCGUGGGUAGCGAACAGGAUUAGAUACCCUGGUAGUCCACGCCGUAAACGAUGUCUAUUAGCUGUUGGGUAUAUUAAGAUACUUAGUGGCGCAGCUAACGCGAUAAAUAGACCGCCUGGGGAGUACGGCCGCAAGGUUAAAACUCAAAUGAAUUGACGGGGGCCCGCACAAGCGGUGGAGCAUGUGGUUUAAUUCGAUGCAACGCGAAGAACCUUACCAGGUCUUGACAUCCA
rnacentral:rRNA from 1 species